CAAGGCAGCAGAUACUCUUCCUGGGGUUUAUUAGGGAUCCCCAUUAGUUCCUUUCCACCACUACCACAUAGUAGUUCCUACUCCACCACUACCACAUAUCUACAACCCACUGUGUGCCCUCAGGCCCCUACUCCACCACUACCACAUAUCUACAACCCACUGUGUGCCCUCAGGCCCCUACUCCACCACUACCACAUAUCUACAACACACUGUGUGCUCUCAGGCCCCUACUCCACCACUACCACAUAUCUACAACCCACUGUGUGGCCUCAGGCCCCUACUCCACCACUACCACAUAUCUACAACCCACUGUGUGCCCUCAGGCCCCUCCUCCACCACUACCACAUAUCUACAACACACUGUGUGCCCUCAGUCCCCUACUCCACCACUACCACAUAUCUACAACACACUGUGUGCCCCCAGGCCCCUACUCCACCACUACCACAUAUCUACAGUACUAAAUCUGUGUGUAAGUGUAGUGCGUGUGUUAUCGUGUGUGUGUAAGUGUAGUGCGUGUGUAAGUGUAGUGCGUGUGUUAUCGUGUGUGUGUAAGUGUAGUGCGUGUGUUAUCGUGUGUGUGUAAGUGUAGUGUGUGUGUUAUCGUGUGUGUGUAAGUGUCAUGUGUGUGUUAUUGUGUGUGUGUGUAAACCCACGUGUGUGUGUAAGUGUAGUGCGUGUGUUAUCGUGUGUGUGUGUAAGUGUAGUGUGUGUGUUAUCGUGUGUGUGCAAGUGUAGUGCAUGUGUUAUCGUGUGUGUGUGUGUGUAAGUGUAGUGCGUGUGUUAUCGUGUGUGUGUAAGUGUAGUGCGUGUGUUAUCGUGUGUGUGUGUAAGUGUAGUGCGUGUGUUAUCGUGUGUGUGUGUAAGUGUAGUGCGUGUGUUAUCGUGU
ensembl:lncRNA